rnacentral:rRNA from 1 species
GAUGAACGCUGGCGGCGUGCCUAAUACAUGCAAGUCGAGCGAACAGACGAGGAGCUUGCUCCUCUGACGUUAGCGGCGGACGGGUGAGUAACACGUGGAUAACCUACCUAUAAGACUGGGAUAACUUCGGGAAACCGGAGCUAAUACCGGAUAAUAUAUUGAACCGCAUGGUUCAAUAGUGAAAGACGGUUUUGCUGUCACUUAUAGAUGGAUCCGCGCCGCAUUAGCUAGUUGGUAAGGUAACGGCUUACCAAGGCAACGAUGCGUAGCCGACCUGAGAGGGUGAUCGGCCACACUGGAACUGCGACACGGUCCAGACUCCUACGGGAGGCAGCAGUAGGGAAUCUUCCGCAAUGGGCGAAAGCCUGACGGAGCAACGCCGCGUGAGUGAUGAAGGUCUUCGGACCGUAAAACUCUGUUAUUAGGGAAGAACAAAUGUGUAAGUAACUAUGCACGUCUUGACGGUACCUAAUCAGAAAGCCACGGCUAACUACGUG